rnacentral:misc_RNA from 1 species
CGAGUUGCAACAAAACUCCAACCCUUGUGAAUAUAUCCUGUUUAUGUUGCUUCGGCGGGCUUGCCCGCCGGAUGUACCAAACUCUUGAAUUUAUACCAGUGUCUCUGAGAUAUAAAAAGACAAAUAAUCAAAACUUUCAACAACGGAUCUCUUGGUUCUGGCAUCGAUGAAGAACGCAGCGAAAUGCGAUAAGUAAUGUGAAUUGCAGAAUUCAGUGAAUCAUCGAAUCUUUGAACGCACAUUGCGCCCGCCGGUAUUCCGGCGGGCAUGCCUGUUCGAGCGUCAUUUCAACCCUCAAGCCCACAUGGGCUUGGUGUUGGGGCGCCCGGGUCCGUGCGGCCCGGGGCCCCCAAUUAUAUCGGCGGGCUCGUCGGAACACUGAGCGCAGUAAAAACGCGGUAAAACGCGAACCUCGUUCGGUAUGUCCCGGUGUGUACCAGCCGUUAAAUCCCCCAAGUUUUACAA